GGGCGGUUAGCUCAGCUGGUUAGAGCGUUACAUUGACAUUGUAAAGGUCAGAGGUUCGAAUCCUCUACCGCCCA
rnacentral:tRNA from 1 species